rnacentral:lncRNA from 1 species
UAUGUUGAAAAAAAAAAAAAAGACAUGUUUCUGAAAGACUUUCUAUGGUGCUAUUCCAUAAACAUUUUUUUUAAACAAAGUUUUUGACCUUUGAGCCAACCACCUGUAGACUACAAAUGUCUCUGUCUGGCUGGUAGCACUUGAAGACUAAAGACUUGCUAAAUGUAUCAAAAGUAUGUCAUUGCAAGGGUAGCUCUUGUCCUGUGGAACAACUGCUUAUAAUGCCUUAGAAUUAUUGUGAAUGAUUGAGCAGAUCCUCCUAAGAGACACACCUUUUUUGAAAAGUUGAGUAUAGUAGUAUAUGUUAGUUAGCAUCUCUAUGAGGAAAAUUAAUUUCUGUGACUGAGAUCUUUACCUAUAAAUAUGGUGACCUACUUUUAUUGUAGAAAAUUAAUUUUCUGCUUUGAAGCCAGGAUUUUUUAAAAUAUUAAUGUAUGUAUAUGUGAGAUUGUCUGAAUGAGUGAAGCUACAAGAAGGUGAAAAGUAGUGGGUGGCUGAUAAGUUUAAAUUUACAUGCCAAGUUCUGCUAGAAUCCUGUUUGAAGUAGCAACUUUAAUAAGCUGUUUCAUGGACAAAUAAUUGGAAUUUCUCAUUAUUAUCAAUCCCAUUUUAAAAAAGGCUCCUUCCUUCAGAGAAACUCUAUUUUGAUAUUUUUUUAUGUUGA